UCUCCGUUGGUGAACCAGCGGAGGGAUCAUUACCGAGUUAUUCUACUCCCAAACCAUUGUGAACGUUACCUAUCCCGUUGCUUCGGCGGGCGGCCCGGGCCCCGCGCCCGGCGCCCCCCGGCCCCCCGUGGGCGCCCGCCGGAGGUAAACCAAACCCUUGAAUUGCAUGGCCUCUCUGAGUCUUCUGUACUGAAUAAGUCAAAACUUUCAACAACGGAUCUCUUGGUUCUG
rnacentral:misc_RNA from 1 species